GGCUGGUCUGAUGGUGGUGAGUUAUCAGAAGAUAUUAGCACUGAUGUCACUAAAGUUGAUACUGCUGAAUUUGACUGGCUUAAA
rnacentral:Y_RNA from 1 species